GUGCUCGCUUCACCAUCACAUAUACUAAAAUUAGAAUGAUACAGAGAUUAGCAUGACCCCAUGCACAAGGAUGACACACAAAUUUGUGAAGUAUUCCAUAUUUAA